rnacentral:rRNA from 1 species
GACGAACGCUGGCGGCGUGCUUAACACAUGCAAGUCGAGCGAUGAAGCUCCUUCGGGAGUGGAUUAGCGGUGGACGGGUGAGUAACACGUGGGUAACCUGCCUCAUAGAGGGGAAUAGCCUUCCGAAAGGAAGAUUAAUACCGCAUAAGAUUGUAGUACCGCAUGGUAUAGCAAUUAAAGGAGUAAUCCGCUAUGAGAGGGACCGGCGUCGCAUUAGCUAGUUGGUGAGGGAACGGCUCACCAAGGACACGACGCGGAGCCGACCUGAGAGGGUGAUCAGCCAAAUUGGGAAUGAGAAACGGCCCAGACUCGUACGGGAGGCAGCAGUGGGGGAUAUUGCACAAUGGGGGAAACCCUGAUGCAGCAACGACGCGUGAGUGAUGACGGUCUUCGGAUUGUAAAACUCUGUCUUCAGGGACGAUAAUGACGGUACCUGAGGAGGAAGCCACGGCUAACUACGUGCCAGCCGCCGCGGUAA